AACUCAUCGGACCAACUAAGCGCGCUUGCACCAGUCUAGCCCUGAAGGUCGUCCUGGCAUCACUCCGGAAAAAGAGAGUCCAAGAGGGUCGUCUCGCUCUCACCACUCGCUCGAUUCCAAUUAUUUUAGCUUCCGCGUAACUAGGGUUUAGCAAUGGGUGCUGUGAACAUCACAGACGUCACCGUUUUGGACAAUCCAUCCCCCUUCCCAAACCCUUCCGCUUCAAAAUCUCCUACGAGUGUCUCCUCCCCCUCCAAGAUGAGGAAGCUCUUGGUGAAGCUAUAUGUCAAGCAGUGGGUCUUGGUUUGAUCAAGUCUGGCAACAAAGUGUUCUCACCUCUAAGGAGGCCUCUUUGAAACUACAAGAUUCUGCUGCUCUGCUUCAUAAUGGAUCACAAGCAACAAAUACAUCACAAUUAGUAUCUCAGACUCCUACAAAGGCUAGCUGCUGAAACGUCUUACGGACAUAGGGUACAAUGAUGCAGCUGUUGACAACAGAGUUCUAAAAGCUGAUAUCGAGACCAUCACAGCUAAGGUAUAGCUGAGCAUCUUGCUUUUGACUGCAAGUUGAGGUCUGAAACCUACAACAGUACUCUAUGUGGUUUCUCAUGUUAUUUAUUAGUGCAUACAAAGCUGCCUAAAAAGUUUCCUUUGCCAUAAAAAUUGUAAAGGCUUGUAGUUUGCAUUGGAAGCUAUUUCUCUAUUAUUUUUUUUUGGCAUGUGUAUUACAGGUGAAGAUGGCUGAAGAGACUGUUGCCAUCAUAUUCUGGGAGCCCGUCUGACACAUCAGCUGAUACUAUUCAAGAUGUUCAAAAACAACACUUCUAUCAGCCUGCUCCUAUGAGUCACUUGCCUGCUCAAGAUCAGAGAGCCCAGAAUGGUUUACUACUGGUUCCACCGGUAAAUAAUUCACAAAAGCAUUCUGCAUCAGGCAUUGUUGAAGGAAACAAGAUAGAAAGAACUUUUUCAAUGCAGCGAGUGCCUAGCUUGGAGCAUCUUCAGAAGGGGAUCUGUGGAGGUGUAAGCUCAUCUGAGACCCUGGCCAGUGGUAAGCAGUAGAAGGUAGCCAAGAGACCUUGAAAUGUGAGGAUUAGUCAGAGGUGCUGGUGUGCUUUUAUUUCAGCUACAUCUAUUGGUUCAUAGUAAUAGAAAUCCUCUUAUCUCAUCAUAAAUUAAUGCUCUGUGGUCUUGUGGAUACAAAACCAUUUCCCCAACUUGGACUAUGUGUAGU